rnacentral:rRNA from 1 species
UACAGAGGGUGCGAGCGUUGUUCGGAAUUAUUGGGCGUAAAGGGCGCGUAGGCGGUGCGGUAAGUCACCUGUGAAAUCUCCUGGCUCAACUGGGAGCUUGCAGGCGAAACUGCCGUGCUGGAGUGUGGGAGAGGUGCGUGGAAUUCCCGGUGUAGCGGUGAAAUGCGCAGAUAUCAGGAAGAACACCCGUGGCGAAGGCGGCUCUCUGGGACAGUACUGACGCUGAGACGCGAAAGCGUGGGGAGCGAACAGG